AACAUGAUGAGGUUUUUACUUGCCAGGCUUUUCCUAGCAAAGCAAUUAUUUUUUAGGUAGAAUGAUGCCUCCAGCCUAUUGUGAAAGCAGCAGAAGUUACUGGAAAGUUGGAGUGAUUGCCCAAGUCCCCAGAAGGAGGGGGCAGCCAUUAGUGCAGCUGUCUGUGGGCCUGAGAAGCAGUUUCUAGAACUUUCCUCAUCCCACCCUUCAGUCCUGUCUUAUUAGAAGCCCAAUUCUGUCCUUGUUGGGGAACAGUGUAGCAUGAAUACAGCCCCAUGCUGGGCUCUGACAGCUGACAGGACCACCAAAAUGAGGCCCGUGGAUGGUGGAGGGAGCCUGCACUCACCGACCAACUGUCAUGAUUUAGUGCUGACCCGUUUAACGCUUAUGUUGACCUGACAAUAGGCAUUAUUACCCCGUUUUACUUGUAAGCAACCUGAGGCCCAGAGAGACAGAGCAACUUGGCCAAGAUCACACAGCCUUGAAGAGGCAGAGCUGAGAUUUGAACAGAAGUCUGUGUAAUUGCAAAAUCUAUGACCAGAGCAAAACUCUCAAGAGAGAGAGACUGAGUUGACUCAAACCACCAUGUACUGGUCCCAGACCAGAUGGGGGACAGGCCUCCUGCACAGCCAGGAGCACCCACCCAAGGACCAAGAUUUCUUCCGAGAGUUCUGUCUCACCCACCGGCCUGGAGUGUGGGGUGGGGAAGAACCCAGCCUGGCCUUGGGCUGGGCCACCGCCCUGUCUUCCCACACCCGGUCAGCCUGCGCCUUCCCAAAACAAGCAUGCAGCGUCGCCCAGGCCACGAAGGGAGAAGCAUCAGGGGCUGACGAAGCCACUUCCAGAGCCAGACUGCCUGGCCUAGUGGUCACUGAUCAGCAAUGUGAUCUCGAGUAAGUUACUCUCCUUCUCUGAGCCUCAGUUUCCCCAGGGCACAGGCAGAAUAACAGCAUGUGUGAAUUCUGACUGGUGGCUGGGACAUAUGCUUGUUACAGUAAAAAAAAAAAAAAAAUAUAUAUAUAUAUAUAUAUAUAUAUAUCUGUAAAAAUAAAAAUUUCAGGACGGCCAGGCGCGGUGGCUCAAGCCUGUAAUCUCAGCACUUUGGGAGGCCGAGACGGGUGGAUCACGAGGUCAGGAGAUCAAGACCAUCCUGGCUAACACGGUGAAACCCCGUCUCUACUAAAAAAAAAAAAUACAAAAAACUAGCCGGGUGAGGUGGUGAGCGCCUAUAGUCCCAGCUACUCAGGAGGCUGAGGCAGGAGAAUGGCAUAAAACCUGGAGGCAGAGCUUGCAGUGAGCUGAGAUCCGGCCACUACGCCUGGGCGACAGAGCAAGACUCCAUCUCAAAAAAAAAAAAAAAAAAAAAAAAGCCAGUUGCUGAGAAAUGCUUCGUGAUCAUCUAAUGCUUUGCCAGCCCUAUAAGGUAGAUGAAGCACUGUUGUUUGAGAUAUUUAAUGUCAGACAAAUAAAAUUUUAAAAUGACAAAUGGAAUCUAAUCAGGGUUGCCGCCGAUCUCUGACAUCUAGUUUAAAAGAAGUUCAGAGGGCAUAGGAAGAAAUUAAACUUGCAGGAAGAAAUUCUGCAAAUCAGAUCAAAUUCAGGAUGAGGGAUAUUCCAUAGGAUAGAUAACUGACGCAGUCCUUCAAAAGUCUUCAAUGCCACACAAAUACACACACACACACACACACACACACACACAGUGCUGGGGAACAAGAGUCGUUAAGAUUAAAGGAGGCUAAAAUGAUAUAAUUACCAAAUGCACUAUGAGGAUCCUUUUAGUACGCUGAUUUGAAUUAAUCGAUUCUAACAGGUCAUUUCAUAGACAACUAGGGAAAUUUGAAUAUAGAUUGAUGUCUGACUUUAUCAGAAAUAACAGACUAGAAGAUAAUUGAAUAUCCACUUACUUUAAAGUGCCAAAGGAAUAAAAACCCUGUGAAUGAAGAAUUCUAUAUCCAGCUAAAAUUUCCUUUAAAUAUAGGUAAAAUAGAUGAUUGUAGACAAAAAAAGAGCAAGAGCGUUUGUCUCUAUCACAAGCAGUUGCAGAUUUAUUUGUUCCCUCUCCAUUCCCUGCUUCCCUGAUUUCCUUCACUAGCCUUAAAAAAAAAAAAAAAUUGUCUCAGGCUGGGCACAGUGGCUCACACCUGUAAUCCCAGCACUUUGGGAGGCCAAGGUGGGCGGAUCACAAGGUCAAGAGAUCGAGACCAUCCUGGCCAACAUGGUGAAACCCCGUCUCUACCAAAAAUACAAAAAUUAGCUGGGCGUGGUGGCAUGCACCUGUAGUCCCAGCUACUCGGGAGGCUGAGGCAGGAGAAUCACUUGAACCCGGGAGACGGAGGUUGCAGUGAGCCAAGAUCACACCACUGCACUCCAGCCUGGCGAAAGAGCGAGACUCCAUCUAAAAAAAAAAAAAAAAAGAAAAAGAAAAAGAAAAUGUCUCUAGCAGAACUGCAUGACUAGAUAUGCUAAAGGAAGUACUUCCAGCCGAAAGGAAAUGGUGUAAGAUGGAAACAUGUUUGUGAAGUAAUUGAG
rnacentral:lncRNA from 1 species